rnacentral:lncRNA from 1 species
UGUAAUUGCUGUGGCUGGAUUUGCUUUGUGUGUGACAGUAUGUGAGCCGAAACAUGGAUCUGUUUUGAUUGCAGGCUUAGCAAUUAUUGGAACUGUAGCAGCAAUUGGCUUAAUUUACAUUAUUAUUAUUAUUGGUUCCAACUUGAAAGAUCAUCAGCCUCCAAGGCACUGGAUAUGAGGUAAUUGAAUCCAAUUAUGGACAUGGAAACAAGUGGAGAGAGACUUUUGUUGAUACACCGUGGCCUUGAAGAUGCACUAUUCAAAGAGAAAUAAAAUCAGGAAAUUAGUUGUUUUGCA